rnacentral:miRNA from 1 species
UGGACGGAAGACUGAUAAGAGC